rnacentral:rRNA from 1 species
GACGAACGCUGGCGGCGUGCUUAACACAUGCAAGUCGAGCGGAGCGGCGAACGGGUGAGUAACGCGUGAGUAACUGCCCCCCUCUCUGGGAUAACAUUUGGAAACGGCUGCUAAUACCGGAUAGUGGGGGAUGACUCGCGUCCUAUCAGCUUGUUGGUGGGGGAGUGGCCUACCAAGGCGACGACGGAUAGCCGGCCUGGGAGGGCGACCGGCCACAAGGGGCGGAGGGAGGGACAAAAGGCCAACGGGGGGCAGCAGGGGGGAAUAUGGCACAAGGGGGGAAACCCUAAGGAAGCAACGCCGGGGGCGGAAUGAAGGCCUUGGGGGGGGAAACCGGUUUAAGCCAUGACGCGGUAGUGGCAGAAGAAGCACCGGCUAACUACGUGCCAGCAGCCGCGGUAAUAC